AACUAGCUGUUGUGGUGGCACUAAUCAUGAAUGCUUGCAACCAGGGUAUUGCUGCAUUGACCAUUACUGCUUGGUGUCAAGUAAAAAAGAUGCUUCGCCUACUUGCCAAAAACGAUUUCCAUGGUUACAUCGUGAAUAAGAGAGGCAACAAAAAAGUAUGCAAGAAUUUACCUGGUGAAAGGUAAAUGAAUGAUAAGAAGACAUCCAGUUCAAAAUAAAAAAAUUUAAUAGACAA